rnacentral:rRNA from 1 species
UUAGGCCAGGUCGAAAGACGUAACCGAUGGACAACAGGUUGAAAUUCCUGUACCUUAAGUAAACAGAACUGUGGGGACACGUGUGGAGAGCACAAGCCGGAAAUGGAAAAGCCGGUGCAAGCGAGGUAGGAGAUGAGCAGGCAAAUCCGUUCAUCAAUCCGAAGACGUGAUGCGGACCGAACUAAGAGUAGGGAAGUGUGUGAGCCAUGCGUCAAGAAAAGCCGCUAUUGUUUUACUUAAGCCCGUACCGUAAACCGACACAGGUGGAUGAGGAGAGAAUCCUAAGGCCGACGGGAGAAGCAUUGUUAAGGAACUCGGCAAAAUGACUCCGUAACUUCGGGAGAAGGAGUGCCAGCGAGAGCUGGCCGCAGAGAAUUGGCCCAAGCAACUGUUUAGCAAAAACACAGGUCUAUGCAAAACCGUAAGGUGAAGUAUAUGGGCUGACGCCUGCCCGGUGCUGGAAGGUUAAGAGGAGAGGUUAGCGGCAACGCGAAGCUUUGAAUUUAAGCCCCAGUAAACGGCGGCCGUAACGAUAACGGUCCUAAGGUAGCGAAAUUCCUUGUCGGGUAAGUUCCGACCCGCACGAAAGGCGUAAUGAUUUGGGCACUGUCUCAACAAUGCACCCGGUGAAAUUGAAAUACCAGUGAAGAUGCUGGUUACCUGCGCCAGGACGGAAAGACCCCAUGGAGCUUUACUCCAGCUUGAUACUGGGAUUCGGUAUUGCAUGUACAGGAUAGGUGGGAGGCUAGGAAGUGAUAACGCCAGUUGUCACGGAGCCGCUGUUGGGAUACCACCCUUGCAGUAUUGGAUUUCUAACCAGCGACCAUGAACUGGUCGGGGGACAAUGUCAGGUGAGGAGUUUGACUGGGGCGGUCGCCUCCGAAAGGGUAUCGGAGGCGCUCAAAGGUUCCCUCAGAAUGGACGGAAACCAUUCGAAGAGUGCAAAGGCAGAAGGGAGCUUGACUGCGACACCGACGGGUGGAGCAGGUACGAAAGUAGGACUUAGUGAUCCGGUGGUAUAAAGUGGGAUUGCCAUCGCUCAACGGAUAAAAGCUACCCUGGGAUAACAGGCUUAUCACUCCCAAGAGUUCACAUCGACGGAGUGGUUUGGCACCUCGAUGUCGGCUCAUCGCAUCCUGGGGCUGAAGUAGGUCCCAAGGGUUGGGCUGUUCGCCCAUUAAAGCGGUACGCGAGCUGGGUUCUGAACGUCGUGAGACAGUUCGGUCCCUAUCCGGCGUGGGCGUAGGAUAUUUGAGAGGAGCUGUCCUUAGUACGAGAGGACCGGGAUGGACUGGCCGCUGGUGUAUCUGUUGCAUACCAAAUGCAUGGCAGAGUAGCCAAGCCGGGACGGGAUAAACGCUGAAGGCAUCUAAGCGUGAAGCCCCCCUCAAGAUGAGAUAUCCCUACGUAAGUAGUAAGACCCCUUGAAGACGACGAGGUAGAUAGGUCAGAGGUGGAAGUACAGUAAUGUAUGGAGCUGACUGAUACUAAUCGGUCGAGGGCAUGACC